CAUUAGAAACUUAUCGCUGGAUGCAUCUCUUCUCCCGUCGGCGACGAACCCUAGCUAGCUACUCUCUCUUCUCUCUCUCUCUCUCAAAAAAAAAAACUCGAAUCAGUCGGGGCGCGAGAGGCCACCGGCGGCAUGGCUGCGUGCAGCGGCGGAGGCGACCGCUCUAAACUAAUCGGAUCGGAUCGGAUCUGACCGAAUCCCGCCGCCGUGCCCGUCUCGCUCGCCGUGGCCGAUGACCUCGUCGGCCGGGACCGCGUCCCUCCCCAAACGUCGGCGAUGAUGGAUGGACCCGCCGGCGCCGGCCAGGCUCCCGUCCUCCGGACGCGGCGGGUCGCCGCUCCUCGGGGCCAGCCCCUCCCGCCGCGCCGGAUCGCGCAUCGGCUUGGAGGCCCCUCGGGGCUGCCGCCGGUGCGGGAGGCGUCCGCGGACCGAGCGGCGGGGCCCGUGAUGCGUUCCGGUCGAGGGCAUGGUCGGGCAGGCGCGGGAUCUGAGCCGCCGUCGAUGGAUUUCUCGCAGCUUGGCUGGAUGUUGCUUUGGAUCCGUUCACACCCCUGAACCCAAACCCUAAGCCGAAUCAGGCGACCUCUCGUUGCCGGAUCGCUGGCCAAUCGUCCGGUUGACGCGUCAGUUCUACACCGCUGCGGUGCUGCCAGCGACCGCCGUUCCAUUGCCCUGGGUUCGGGUGUGGCGUUGGCUGGGAACCGUACGUUGUUUGUCUGACGUGCCGUCCGCACCGGGGGGUUUGGUCGAUCGACUCCAGGCAUGAGCAGCUCCUGAGCUUGAUGGCUGGAUGUGUGUACACAUGUAAUGGGGUAUCAUGGUCAUGUUGCUUGGUGUGCAGAGGCAACCUCAUUUUUGGACCAAAAAGAGGGGCGAUGACGAGGACGACGAUGAUGAUGACUGUGGCUGAAAUAAUCAUGUCUUGAGCAAUCAAGACAGCCUUGGCUUGUGGGACUAAACAGACCUGAAAAAGUAGGUGUCAGCGUUGGAGUUGCACUUAGAGCCCACCCUUACCUCUGUUGCAGCCUGCUCAAUUUGCCGCUGAUGUUGGAUGAUCUGUGCCUUGGACGGUCGUUCUGAUGAGUGACAACCAGGGCAGUUCUCUUACACUGUGAUGGGUAGGUCAUGGAGCAAGAGAUGUGGGUGUUGGGUUUGAAGAUGAAUGACAAAGCUGAGCCCUCUUUUGCUACGCUACAUACACUGAAUUUUCACUGUUCAGUUGCGUUUUGUUUUGGAUUCGGUAUGAAUCCUCCUCCUCCUCUCUCUCUCUCUCAUAUAUAUAUAUAUAAUUAUAUAUAUCCUAAAACAAAUCAGUCAAGCUGUCAUUGCCUACUCGCUGACCCAUGGUCUGGGUGGACUGACGCUAUGGUGCCGCCAGCCACCGCCAUUCCAUUGCCUUGGAUUCGGGUGUGUCGUGAGCUGGCAACCAUACAGUGUUGUCUGAUGCAUCGUCCGAGCCGGAGGUUUGGUUGGCUGAUGCCAGGCAUGAGCAGCUCCUGAGAGCAUGGUUAAUAAUCUAUCCAUCCAUUGAUCCAUCUAUCUAUCUAUCUAUCUAUUUGGGGCGAUGAUGAUAAAACAUGGCUGACAUAAACUUGUAUUCGAUUAUUCGAGGAGCUGUGGGCUUCAAAAACCUACUCUCCCCUCUUUUGGCACCUUAUCAUUCUCACUGAAUAUUGAUGUCUCUGUCUUGGAUGGUCAUUCUGCUGAGUGAUAACCAGAGGAGCUCGACCUCAGUGGUGGGGUUGAUCUGGUGAAAGAAGAUGGAGCUAGGUUGUAUGAUCUAUCAAAGGCGAAUCUGAGCCCUC